CCCCCCCCGCCAUAAAUAAUGACCAGUCUCUUUGUCAUGGGGGAAAGAGGUGUAAAAGAAAAAAUGUUGAAAUAUGAAGAGGGGGAAGGUCACCAUUUCUGCUCUUUUAGGGGGGGAGCUUUCAAUCCUAUCUAAAUUUAGGAGAGGAAAAACCCCUCCUCCCUCCAUAAAUAAUGUCCGGUCACCCCAAUAUUCUUUUAAAGAGACAGCUCUGGCAAAAUCUAGGCAAAAAUUCGCCGAGGUAAUGUCGGCGAAUUUCUGUAUUUUUUAUCUAUAUAUAACAUAACUAUACGCUUUUUAGACUUGACUGAAAAAUUAAUAAAAGGAACCUUUGAAUCUCAACUGACGGCUUUUGCAAACCACGCUCAACGUCGUCCUAUUCCGACAGUUUUUCAGAACACAAUUUUCCCCUGUACUGUACAAAGUCUUUUCGAAUUCAUCUCGUGUGUUUAUUUAUGCUGUUUUGUCGUCGUUUCAUGAAGUUUUUUUUGUUUGAUAUUCAGAUUCUUAUAGGAUAAUGCACUUCUUCUUUUUCGGUUUUUUGGCGGGCGUUUCGUGAGCAGCAUAAAAUUUCCUGUGUGAAAAAUUGGAAGGAAUUCGUUUAGUUUGCAAUGCCAAUGAAUACGGUUAUAUAGAUUCAUGCUAUAUAUGCUUAUAUCAUUGUUUAUACCGUUGCUACAUACAGUAUAUAUAAUUCACAACUUUAUACAAAGUCUGUCGCGAACGUGUCUCGAAGUGUUUGUCGUGAAUGAUUUUUAUGCUUGUGUCCAUCAUAGUCGUUCAAGACAUGGUCUGGAAAUUCAGUAAACUUCAAAACGGUUUCAAUGAGCUGGGAUUUUAUGUUGAGCCGUGAAUGACUGAAUUGAAACGUUGCUAUUGGAUCAUUCGUUCAUUAUACUGAAAUACAAUGUGUUCAUUGACCGUGCACCGUGCACAAAACGCGAAGAAAAAGACAAAACAAACGCCCGUAUUCUAAAAGCUCACUCGCACUCAAUGAGUGGGGGUUCAAUCUGAGCUUCUCUCGAGUGUCAAUGCUGUUUUUGAAUAGCUGGAGGUUGGUGUCAU